CAGCAGGCGCAACUCUCCACCUCAGCACGCGCCGCCACCCGCGGCCGCCUCGGCGCCAGCCCUGGGGUGGCGCCUGAGGGCACUGGGGUCCCGCGGCGCUGCCGGCUCCGCCUCGCUCGCGGCCCGCCGCCGCCUGCGGCGUGAGGUUGCCAGUAGGAGCCCACCGCGCUCAGAGGCCAGACUUGUGCGCAUCUCCGGGUGCCCGCGCGCCGUGCACCUCAGGGACCCCCACUGUUGGAGGGGGGACACGGGGGGUUAAUUAUCCCCGGACAUUUCUAGUGUACAGCAUGAUCCGCGCGAGGGAAGUGCGGCCUGGGACCCCUCGGGGACAGGGUGCCUAAUCCCCUUCUUGAAGGGACACAGACUCAGGUCAGCCUCCGCGUGCCAGAUCUUCGGAGGAGUCUCUAUGCUAACGAGCGUGUUAGCAGUCGGGAUGACUGAUGCAGCCUGGGCCCGGCACCCUUCGCGGCGCCAGGCCGAGGGGAGGCCGGACGUUGGCUUCCCUUUUCACCCCUGAGGAAGUCGGGGCUUUAACCCCGUGCACUGCCAACCUGAGGACCAAAGGAGGGCCACCCAGGUGGGCCUGGCUGCCACUUCCCGGUCUGGUGGCGCCGAAAUGAUGUCAUCUCCACUAGUCUCUCCUUCGCAACUUAAGAUCGUCCUUUGAUUAUUGACCAAAACUGAGGAAACUGAGGCCGAGGGAGGGGGCCCGCUUGCCCAGUGAAGUUUCUCCUGAGAGGCGCCAGAGGAGCUGCCUGGAAACGAGGUGCAUGCCUUUGAAUCUGGACCAGGCCAUGUGACUUCCCUUUACCAACAGAAUGAGGUGGAAGCAACCAUGUGCCAUUUCCAAGCUCAGGCUUCCUGACACCUUGCAUGUCUCCUUUUGUACUCCGUGCUUCUGCCAUUGCCAUGAUCAAGACACCACCCAUGUUGGCCCGGUGGUCCCAAGAGGAAGAAAAGAGACUCAUGAAGAGCCAGAUUGCCUCAGCAAAGGUCCACCAAAACCAUCCCCCAGCUGAACUCAGAUGGGAGACUGGAGGAGGCACACACUACAACCAGAAUCAUCUUCUCAAAUUGCAAACUGGAUCGUGUCUACUCGCCUCCUUCUUCCUCCAAACUCUAAUAGAAUUCUCUGCCCUAGAAAUGAAGACAAAGCCAAGCUCCACUCCACCAUGGACACCCUAUCUCUGCACUUUAUUUUAAGUUUAUUUAUUUAUUUUGAGAGAGAGAAAGGGAGAGCAGGGGAGGGGCAGAGAAAGAGAGAGAGAGAGAGAGAGAGAGAGAGAGAGAGAGA